ACGCUCGACACCUACGGCAGGCAGCAGUCGGGAAUAUUGCGCAAUGGAGGAAACUCUGACGCAGUGACGCCGCGUGCAGGAAGAAGGUUUUCGGAUUGUAAACUGCUUUAGACAGGGAAGAAAGAAAUGACAGUACCUGUAGAAUAAGCUCCGGCUAACUACGUACCAGCAGCCGCGGUAAUCUGAGCGGGCUGGCAAGGC
rnacentral:rRNA from 1 species